AUGACGGAUGACGCUGGUGCAGCAGACCCGGAGGCCCCGGGGGCCCUGGAAUGCGAGGCCGUGGCGACUUCGGCUUUCUGGGUCGCAGCCGUGGUCGGGGCCGGCCCGGGCAGAGGCAAGGCCGAGGACAAGGAGUGGAUGCCGUCACCAAGCGGGGCCACCUGGUCAAGGACAUGAAGAUCAAAUCCCUAGAAGAGCUCUAGCUCUUCUCCUUGCCCACUGGGGAGUCUGAUGAGAUCAUUGACUUCUUCCCGGGGGGCCUCUCUCAAGGAUGAGGCUUUGAAGAUUAUGCAAAAGCAGAACCGCUCUGGCCAGUGGACCAGGUUCAAGGCUUUUUUUGUCAUCUCGGACUAAAAUGGCCACGUCUGUCUGGGUGUUCAGUGCUCCAAAGAGGUAGCCACUGCCAUCCGGGGGGCCAUCAUCCUGGCCAAGCUCUCCAUUGUCCCCAUGUGGAGAGGCUACUGGGGGAACAAGAUGGGCAAAUGCCACACCAUUCCUUGCAAGGGGACAGGCCGCUGCGGCUCUGUGCUGGUAAGACUCAUCCCUGCCCCUAGAGGAACUGGCAUCGUCUCAGCCCCUGUGCCCAAGAAGCUCCUGCUGAUGGCUGGUAUCCGUGACUGCUACACCUCAGCCAGGGGUUGCACUGCCACCCUGUGCAACUUUGCCAAGGCUGCUUUUGAUGCCAUCUCCAAGACCUAUAGCUAUCUGACUCUUGACCUCUGGAAAGAUACACUAUUCACCAAGUCCCCCUACCAGGCAUUCACUGGCCAUGUUGUUAAGACCCACACCAGAGUCUCUGUGCAGAGCACCCAGGCUCCACCUGUGGCUACAACACAGCAUUUUUAUACAAGAAAAAUAAAGUGAAUUAAACCUG